rnacentral:siRNA from 1 species
AGAGUCUCUCCUGGGUUUAAUUGC